UACAGAGGGGGCAAGCGUUGUUCGGAAUUACUGGGCGUAAAGGGCGCGUAGGCGGCCUUCUAAGUCGAACGUGAAAUCCCCGGGCUCAACCCGGGAACUGCGUCCGAUACUGGAAGGCUUGAAUCCGGGAGAGGGAUGCGGAAUUCCAGGUGUAGCGGUGAAAUGCGUAGAUAUCUGGAGGAACACCGGUGGCGAAGGCGGCAUCCUGGACCGGUAUUGACGCUGAGGCGCGAAGGCCAGGGGAGCAAACGGG
rnacentral:rRNA from 1 species